rnacentral:rRNA from 1 species
ACCCCAACAGCUAGCCCGAACCUCUAAACCCAACAAACCAUAUCAAUUAACCCCUCACAGACUAAAUCAACUAAACAAACCAUUUUUCCCCCUCAGUA